rnacentral:lncRNA from 1 species
GUGUGUGUGUUUGGUGUGUGUGUGUGUGUGUUAUCGGUGUGUGUGUGUGUGUUGUCGGUGUGUGUGUGUGUGUGUUGUCAGUGUGUGUGUGUGUGUGUGUUGUCGUGUGUGUGUGUGUGUGUGUGUGUGUGUGUGUGUGUGUGUGUGUGUGUGUGUCGGUGUGUGUGUGUGUGUUGUCGGUGUGUGUGUGUGUGUGUUGUCGUUGUGUGUGUGUGUUGUCGGUGUGUGUGUGUGUGUUGUCGGUGUGUGUGUGUGUGUUGUCGGUGUGUGUGUGUGUGUGUGUGUGUGUGUGUGUGUGUGUGUGUGUUGUCGUGUGUGUGUGUGUGUGUGUGUGUGUGUGUGUGUGUGUGUGUGUGUGUGUGUGUGUUGUCGGUGUGUGUGUGUGUGUUGUGUGUGUGUGUGUGUGUGUGUGUGUGUGUUCGGUGUGUGUGUGUGUGUGUGUUGUGUGUGUGUGUGUGUGUGUUGUCUGUGUGUGUGUGUGUGUGUUGUCGUGUGUGUGUGUGUGUGUGUGUGUGUUGUGUGUGUGUGUGUGUGUGUGUGUGUGUGUGUGUGUGUUGUCGGUGUGUGUGUGUGUGUGUGUG